rnacentral:rRNA from 1 species
UUAAAAUGUAAUUUUUAAAAACUUAGGUAGUAAUAGUUAUGUUCUUGAAACUUAAAAAAUUUGGCGGUAUUUUAGUCUAUUCAGAGGAACCUGUUUUAUAAUCGAUAAUCCACGAUGGACCUUACUUAAAUUUGUAAUCAGCUUAUAUAUCGUCGUUAUUAGAAUAUUUUAUUAGAAAGUUAAUUUUCAAAAUUUUAUAAAAGAAAACAUAUCAGAUCAAGGUGUAGCUCAUGUUUAAGUAAAAAUGGGUUACAAUAAAAAUAUUUAUAUGAAUAUAAAUUUGAAAUAUUUAUUGAAAGUGGAUUUGAUAGUAAAAUUAUAAAGAUUAAUAAUUUGAUUUUAGCUCUAAAAUAUGU